AGAGACCCAUUAAUGUUUAGGUCAUACUUCUUUUACUAUGGGACCAACCCCGAAAACGCGGAAAAAUAAUUGGAAGUUUCAUACAUUUUGCUGGUCUGAUGUUGAUAUUUUCUAUGGGAGAGGAUUUUUUUUCCGGGGUUUCAGGGUUGUGGGCCCCUUAAAAGUUGCUCAGUAUGACUUAAACAUUAAUGGGUCUCUUUCUUGGCCUUUCGUUCUGAUACAUACUGUAUAUACCUCCGUAUAUUCUAUCCUCUCUGCUAAAUUGUAAAAACAAAAUUCGUCAUUCCUAUGGUCAACAGUUAGCAUAUUACGUAGGUAUAUGCAUGGCAGUGAUGGUUUUAUCGCAUAGCCUCUAUUACAAAGCCAUAAGGUUUACAUGUCAGAUUGGGACAGUGAACGUGUUAAGUUUAAAUUCUAUUAUUUUCUCCUUUGUUCUUUGAUCGAUUCGGAGCAUCGUAUUUUAGUACUAUAUAGUAUAUUUUAGUACAAUAAGCGGGCUUAAUAAAUAUAUUAACAUAUAAUAUGCUCUACGGUUUGGAAGAACGGCCGCCUAUGAUAGUUAAAAUAAAAAACCUAUCAUUCUCGUAGAACCUAAGUGCUUAUUUAUUGUCUAAGUUUGACACUUGACGAUAAAAUACUUCUUUAAGAAAGGAGGUGUCAAUUCGUAGUUGCUACAGUAUUCUUUUUAAAGUUUAACAGAUAAAAUGUUGAUGCUUAGUUACCAUUGAAAUAACAACUGCUUAGCAACUGGUGGCACCCUGGCUGGUGACGUACGUGAUUGGCAGUGCGUGUAGGUAUUAAUGACAGCAGCUUGAAUUUGAGUGCUUAGUUACCACUGAAUUUCUAACCGUUAUUGUCAUUGUGAUUAAAUAAGGGUGUAUGUGUUAAAGAAAAACUCAGAAGUUAAGAUAUAUGUGACGAACUGAAAGCCUACGCUAAAAUGACAACUUAGAUGUCCUUAUUUUUGUGACGAUUGAAGUGUAUAUGUUUUCUUGGACACCUUGCCCGCUCAGGUAUAUCUGCUGCUGACUGUA